UGUACAGUUUGUGCUCAACUCCGAUGAACAACACUUAUAUCGUUUGCUUCAUUAUUACAACUGAAAAAAUAAUCGAUAAAACAAUUUUUUGGCGGGAAAUAGGUCACAAUGGAUUUUUUACUCCCUGUUUUUUUGUUCUGUUUAAUAAUUCUAUUAAAAUCGCCACGGAGCUUAAGCGAUAAAAUGAAAUGUGAAAAAAUCAAAUACAAAGGUCCCGUUUGCGGCACAAAUGCGGUCACUUAUGAAAAUUAUUGUGCAAUUGAGUUGGAUCAAAUGUUUGAAAAAGAAAUGUACAAUAAAAUCAAUCUGCUUGUUAUACACGAAGGGAAGUGCUUUUCCACUAGUGAAGAUGUACCCGAUGAUGAUGAAGACACCGAAUAUUAUUAAAGAAAUUUUUUUCGAAA